UGUACCAUAUCAUGCUCUUUACAUUCUUUGCUUUUGGAUUUUAGCUGUCGGUUACAAUUGCAUAUUGAAUAUUACAACAAGGACUGCUAACUCUGUAAGUCUAAAAAAUCUUAUUGCAAUAUAUAUAUAGUAAAGAAACUAGAUAUUUGAGAUUGAUGUUUGUUUUCACUAUAAAGGAGAAAUUGCUCUUAAAAUCUGAACUUUUAAAUAAAUUUGUCCUUACAGAAAUUACGAGGCCAAACUGAAGCUCUCUAUAUACUAACAAAAUGUAACAGUACUCGUUUUGAAUUUAUAUUUACAAAUUUGGUUCCUGGAAGCCCUAGACUUUUUACUUCUGUGAUGGCAGUACACAGAGCUUAUGAAACUUCUAAAAUGUAUCGUGAUUUUAAAUUAAGAAGUGCACUAAUUCAGAACAAGCAACUAAGACUGUUGCCACAAGAACAUGUAUAUGAUAAAAUAAAUGGAGUUUGGAAUUUAUCCAGUGAUCAGGUAUUGUGCAAAGAGCUAGUGAACCUUUUGGGACAGUGUUUUGGUAAUCAUUUUUCCAUUCAUCAUUGGAUUUAUAU
rnacentral:lncRNA from 1 species